CUCAGCCUUACCACACUGACUUUGCCAAGCACUCCAUGUGUCAUCAUCCUUGGUGAUAAACGGUAUCACAUGGCUGUUGACCAGACGAUUGUGAACAACCAUGUCCACAGCCCAUUGACUGCAUUGAGCUAUUUAUUUAGUACUAUCUACUAUGUGCUCAAUAUACAAUAUCCAAAGGAUGCAGCUUUAUCACUGGAGUUUAUGCAAAGAAGUCUCCUGGGAUCAAUCCUGGACGAGGGUCCAAAGCAGAGCAGAAAGGGAAAAAGGCGCACAAGAUUCAUCCUAAAUUGUUAAAGUUCCUCUCUGAACUAAGUGACUACCAAAAUGCACGGAGAAUCUA